UGGCGCUGUACUAUGGCUGGAAGAGCUUCAGCGAGGACGAGGACCGGCCGGAGAAGCCACGGCGGUUCGGGAUGACGGAGAUGCGGAGCCCCAAUUACAGCCUCAUGAGCCACAACGCCCUCCAGGAUAUAUUAGAAUCCAUGGGACCUUUUGUCGAUGGUUUGAAGUUCUAUGGUGGCUCUCACAGUUUGAUGCCAAAGGAGUUCAUCAAAGAAAUAACUGAUCUGGCACAUAAGCAUGAUGUGUAUGUUAGUACUGGUGAUUGGGCAGAACACUUGCUACGUAAAGGGCCUUCUGCUUUCAAACAAUAUGUUGAGGAAUGUAAGCUGUUAGGCUUUGACACUAUUGAGCUAAAUACCGGGUCGCUUAAAGUUCCUGAAGAAGCUCUCUUAAGAUUUGUCCGCCUCAUUAAGACUGGUGGUCUUAGAGCCAAACCUCAUUUUGCAGUCAAGUUUGAUGAAUCUGAUAUCCCAAUUGCUGAUGAUAGAGCAUUUGGAGCUUACAUUGCUCCAGUCAACCGGGGUUCUGAGUUGGUUGAGGAUGUGGACCUACUGAUUAGAAAGGCUGAGCGAUGCUUGGA
rnacentral:misc_RNA from 1 species